rnacentral:lncRNA from 1 species
AAUUUUCGUAUGGUAAAGCCUUGGCCAUUUUUGGACCCUUUUUGAGCGGUAUUAAAGUUCUUUGCCCAUAAAGGUCGAAAAAAAUAUGCCCGGGAGUCAGUUUUUGUUUUCGCCCCAAAACGGGUCAAAAAGGGCCAAUGCGUUAGCCUACGAAGAGAGGACCCAUCUUAGAACGGUGCCAAAGGUCUCGAAAAUUCACACCUAACUACCCGGUGGCCUCAUUCUGAGCGGUAUUAAAGUUCUUUGCCCAUAAAGGCCGAAAGAAAUAUGCCCAGGAGUCAGUUUCUGUUUUCGCCCCAAAACGGGUCAAAAAGGGCCAAUGCAUUAGCCUACGAAGAGAGGACCCAUCUUAGAACGGUGCCAAAGGUCUCGAAAAUUCACACCUAACUACUGGGUGGCAUCAUUCUGAGCGGUAUUAAAGUUCUUUGCCCAUAAAGGCCGAAAGAAAUAUUGCCCGGGAGUCAGUUUCUGUUUUCGCCCAAAAACGGGUCAAAAAGGGCCAAUGCAUUAGCCUACGAGAGAGGACCCAUCUUAGAACGGUGCCAAAGGUCUUCGAAAAUUCACACCUAACUACUGGGUGGCAUCAUUCUGAGCGGUAUUAAAGUUCUUUGCCCAUAAAGGUCGAGAAAAAUAUGGCCGGGAGUCAGUUUUUGUUUUCGCCCCAAAACGGGUCAAAAAGGGCCAAUGCAUUAGCCUACGAAGAGAGGACCCAUCUUAGAACGAUUCCAAAGGUCUCGAAAAUUCACACCUAACUACUGGGUCGACUCAUUUUGAGCGGUAUUGAAGUUCUUUACCCAUAAAGUCCGAAAAAAAUAUGCUCGGGAGUCAGUUUAUUGUUUUUGCCCUAAAACGGGUAAAAAAGGGCAAAUGCAUUAGCCUACGAAGAGAGGACCCAUCUUAGAACGAUGCCAAAGGUCUCGAAAAUUCACACCUAACUACUGGGUGGCCUCAUUUUGAGCGGUAUUGAAGUUCUUUACCCAUAAAGGCCGAAAGAAAUAUGCCCGGGAGUCAGUUUUUGCUUUCACCCCAAAACGGUUGAGAUAGAUGAUUACACGAGAUAUUGUUAUUUUUACCGGUUGAGAAGCAAAGACGAGACAAUUGAAAAAUUUUAUGUUGAU